rnacentral:rRNA from 1 species
UACAGAGGGUGCGAGCGUUAAUCGGAAUUACUGGGCGUAAAGCGUGCGUAGACGGCUAUCUAAGUCGGGUGUGAAAGCCCCGGGCUCAACCUGGGAAUUGCAUUCGAGACUGAAUAGCUAGGGUGCGGUAGAGGGAAGCGGAAUUUCCGGUGUAGCGGUGUAAAUGCGUAGAUAUCGGAAGGAACAUCAGUGGCGAAAGCGGCUUCCUGGACCAGCACCGACGUUCAGGCACGAAAGCGUGGGGAGCA